UACAGAGGAGCCAAGCGUUGUCCGGAUUGACUGGGCGUAAAGCGCACGCAGGCGGUUGCGCGCGUGGGGUGUGAAAUCUGGCCGCUUAACGGCCAGGCGCCAUCCCAUACGGCGCGACUGGAGUGAUGCAGAGGUCGAUGGAAUUGCCGGUGUAGUGGUGAAAUGCGUAGAGAUCGGCAGGAAUACCCAGGGGGAAACCAGUCGACUGGGCAUCUACUGACGCUGAGGUGCGAGAGCGUGGGGAGCGAACCGG
rnacentral:rRNA from 1 species